AUAUAAUUGUUUUUGUUGUUUCAGUAGUGCAGCGUCAUUUGUUUACCUUUGUUACUAUAGUGAUAUGACACCGGCGCAUGUCUGAAUCAGGAAGUAGAUCGCUGCGCGGUUGUCAGUAGCAGCGGGGAGCAAGCUCACUCAGUCAUCCGUUUUUCAGGCGAUCGCUUUUUCCUCUUUCUCUUUGCUAAAGCAACGUCUUUUUACAAUAUUCCCAGUAAAUUUUAUGGAAAUGAAUCAUCUGUGUCCUGGAGUUUCUUGGGAGUGUUUAAGCUGAAUGGAGUGUAGUCCAUGACAGUAAAAAGACGGCAACGCAGCUAAUGAGGAUCACGAGGAUCGCCAUCUUACGGAGCAAUUCAAUAACAAGAGAUAAGUGGCAAACUCGAAAAA